GCAUGGGAAUUAUUUGUUAAAGAUUCAUCGCUGAUAGAUAGGCAUGCGUUCCAUUAGGCAGUUGGCGGGGUAACGGCCCACCUAGCCAACGAUGGAUAGGGGUUCUGAGAGGAAGGUCCCCCACAUUGGAACUGAGACACGGUCCAAACUCCUACGGGAGGCAGCAGUGAGGAAUAUUGGUCAAUGGACGAGAGUCUGAACCAGCCAAGUAGCGUGAAGGAUGAAGGUCCUACGGAUUGUAAACUUCUUUUAUAAGGGAAUAAACCCUCCCACGUGUGGGAGCUUGUAUGUACCUUAUGAAUAAGCAUCGGCUAACUCCGUG
rnacentral:rRNA from 1 species